GUUUAAUCUUUUUUUAGAAACUUGUUUAUUCGAAACGUAAAUUAAAAUGGUAUAACGGUAUUAAACAUGGCACCAAUAUCACCACCAAAAGAAAAUUCAGGAGUUGUUCUUUGUGAAGACGUAACUUCGCAUUCUUACUGGGCCGUUCUCCUUGCUGCAGCACUACUAAUCUACAGAUUCUACAGAUAUUUUAUUUCAUAUAGAAGAGCAAAGAAAUAUCAUAGAAGAGUAGGAGUUCGGUGGCAUUAUUGCGAUCAACGACAAGUCAUCAACACAAUCUCAAGGUGAAGAAAUAGGAGGAAGAAUGGACCUCGUAAAAAACGACAAGAAAUAUUCCGAGUGUGUAUCGUAUUGGGGGCCAAACACAUACUCAUAUCCACAAGUAAAGAAUGUAUUUCUAACAUCUUAUCAUCACUAACAGCAUAAAGACUGCUAAGCUAUGAAAAAUAUACGAUUUUAAAAUGUAAUUCUGAACCAUUGGGGCCCCCCGCGGUCGCUUAAUGGUCCGUGAAGGGAUUUUAGAGGGACCGCGAAGCAGCUUUGAUACAGAAACAUUGCUGAGUAAACUUUUGAUUUCAUGCUAUUACGGUGUUUCUCGAAAAUAUGACGCCUUAUUGAUUUGAAUAAGUAAGAAAUGUUGGUGAACGUAGCAAGUACAGGUACCAUAAAUGAAUGGCGAUCUUUAUUUUUGAAGGCAUGUGUAGGUACCUCAUCGUCAAUCGUCAAUAAUCCAUAGUGCGGUGUGGAUUGUAGACAUUUAGGCUAAGUUUCAAGGUUGGAAAUCAGUUCGAAUAACAUGUGGACGAAAUGAACUUCCGUCUGUUUGUCUAAUUAUGCAAAUAAAGCGAUUCUGAAUUCGAAAUUAUGUUGUUUCACUCACAUGCGAGAUGGCUUUAAAAGGGGAAGCGCUGAAAAAAGUUUUAGUAAAUAGUCUACUUGGAAAAAUACACGAUUUACUGCAAGAAGUAAAACAUGAAGUGCGCUGGAAAUUCUCCAAUGCUUGUUUUCUGGUACGCCACUCGCUAUUGAAACAAAUUUCCGAAACAUAAUAAAAAUGAGUUUGAUAUGAGAGUGGCGCUAUCCCUAGCAGAACCCAAAAUGGAUGAACUGGUGGAAGCCAAGCAAUUGCAUCCAUCCAAUUGGGAAUUCUCCAUCCAUCUGUUGGUCUUAUGGCUAGGGUUUUGUUUUUUAUUAAUUCUAAAAAAACAUCGUGUUUUAAAACAAAGGCUUGGUUUAAAUCAAUUUUUUUCUGUAUUUUUUAUUGAGAUACCCCUUGCUUCGCCGCGAAAUACGCCAAAACGUCGCAUUCUGGCAGCUGCACACGCCGCCGGGAUUAUAAUUUCAAAAAUGUAAGUAAAAAUUCCUUCCUUUAACUUUUACUUCUAUUGCGUACAUUUAUCGCCACGUGUAUCUCCACCAAAGUCAUGAGUUUUUAACCGAAAAGUUUAUCCGAGAUAUCAGAGAGACGUUUUGAGUAAGAAAAAUCAUGUAACUUAGUUCACGAGCCUACUACAAAAGCAAUUAGACCAAGGGCAGCCUUGGGCAAAACGAGUGGUUUGCGAUAAUGAAGAAUAUGGUUACAUCGGCGACAAUCUACUGAUAUAAACGAUGAGAUACCCUAGCUAGCCUAUGCUAAUUGUAAAAGUCCUCUGUUGCGAAGACGCCACAACUAAUCUGUUAUGACGCAUAAUACGGAUUUCGAGUUCAUGUAUUGGCAUUUUUCUCAUAAAAUGAAUGCAUUAUUACGAUUAAUACUGUUCGGUUGAUUUAUGCUUAGCAUACUUUGUUUUUGAAGUUGAAGUGAUAGAGUUUUUCGAGGUUAUACAAACUCAUUUAUUCGAUUGCAUUUCAAUUUUCGCAAAAUAGUUUCGUCUUAGCGGGGUUUUUAACGUAACGGCUUAUCGUUUGCGUCUUACUGCGCAAACCGCUGAACUACAGCUUGAGAAGGUGUGAAGGCCUCUAUCGAUAUUUAUGGCGUUUUGAAGGAUUUAUUGCAAAUAAGAAGCGCUUGGCAAGUUUUCACAUCCAUUUUUCUUCAACUUAUUUUAUACAAAAAAAAUCGAAUAGUACAGCCAUUUUGAACAAAACCGGCAAAAAAAAACUGAAUUUAAAGCAAUUGUUUUAAAACAAUUCUUUUUGAACAGAUCCCUACUUAUGGCUCUUUAAUUAAUAUAACCGCUACUAUAUAUAUAAUAUCUGGUGAACGGUGUUAGUUAGAUAUUUCAUAUGGUACUCAUCGUCACUAUCAGUAGUUUCAAAACUCUAGAAUUCUAACUUUUUUAAUUAGAUAUUAGAACCUCGGGUAUCACUGCUCGUUAACCAGUUUUGGUUCUCCGCGACUUUCCUUCCCAGGUAGAACUGUGUAAAUUAUCAUUUUCUCGUAAUUUGUGCUUGUGAUACUUUUAUUUACUGGUUGGAAAAAAUAAACUUGACUUGACUUGCGCCCAUUGAACUGUUCUAAUGACAUGCAAUAAACGAAUGCUUGAUAUGUGUUUGCUAUUUUGAAUUCUUUAGUGGACUGCGAGUCAUCAGAAAAAUUUUAAGAGGACCAUUAUGCAUAUUUUUUUAAAAAGAUUGAGCACCACUGUUCUGAACGAUCGAUAUUUUAGAAAAUACAUGUACAAAUCCAUACUCAGCAAAAGAAAUUUACUAACAAUAUAAAAACUUAGUCAACAAAAAGGAUACUUGGGUUUUAGCGAUACUCUCAGCCAAAAAUAUAUAAACAUUUCCAAAAU